UCCUAUUACUCAUCCACUACAAUUGAUGCGGGAUUGAUUAGGUAUGGCCUUUCUCUCCCUACCCACAAACCACCGCGCGACUCGAAGAAUUGGCGGGUGACAAGGUAACAAAAAAAAGAAAGAAAUGAGUGUUUCCGGAUUACCACGCUAUGAUCCCAUGGAGCUUGUUUCCGCCAUGGGGAGUGUUCCAUACUGCUGACGGUUUCCCAGGCAACCAGAGGCCAGGACCUUCACUAGGAGAACUUGGAAAGUAAGCUGUAGUGGAAAAAAGCAGAUGUUUGGAUGUUUCACCCUUCUGGAAACGGGAUGAAGGUGAAGGCAGAGACUGCUGACUCGGACCGAUGACAAAGAGUAUUAUUCUAAGAUGUCUGGUUUACAAGUCAUGACCACUUGGA